AAUGAAAUGCCUGAGUAAAGGAUUAUUUUGAUAGAAUAAAUUAUGUACUAUAUAACUACUUUCAUUG
rnacentral:tRNA from 1 species